rnacentral:rRNA from 1 species
UACAGAGGGGGCAAGCGUUGUUCGGAAUUACUGGGCGUAAAGGGCGCGUAGGCGGCCUUCUAAGUCGAACGUGAAAUCCCCGGGCUCAACCCGGGAACUGCGUCCGAUACUGGAAGGCUUGAAUUCGGGAGAGGGAUGUGGAAUUCCAGGUGUAGCGGUGAAAUGCGUAGAUAUCUGGAGGAACACCGGUGGCGAAGGCGACAUCCUGGACCGGUAUUGACGCU